rnacentral:lncRNA from 1 species
UUUAAUUAAAUAAUUUAAGUACCAAAAUAAAGAAAAAUUUUUGAAAAAUUUAAUACAUAUUUUUUAAAAUUUUUCAGGUAAAAAUCAAAGCAAAAAUGAAGUCAAAAUAUCCUAAAAAAUCUUUAAAAUAGCCUCUGAUGCAUGGUGGAUCGGCUGGUCGGUCCACAGAGCUAGGAUGCGGUCUGUCAAAAAUAAUACGCGAUCCACAGAUGCAGUCUAUGAGCGGUGGAAGCCUCUUUUACGCAAUCCAACUGCUGAGGAUGCUCCCGACUUUGAAUAGGAGAUCAAAAGCACAGAUCCGACGGCCC